GUUUUCUGUGGCUCAGUUGAAGGAGCAUUGCGCUAAUAACACAAAGGUUGUGGGUUCAAAUCCAAAUGAAAGCA